ACUACGGGCGGCUGCAGUGGGGGAUAUUGCACAAUGGGGGGAACCCUGAUGCAGCGACGCCGCGUGGGUGAAGAAGCGCCUCGGCGCGUAAAGCCCUGUCAGCAGGGAAGAAAAUGACGGUACCUGAAGAAGAAGCCCCGGCUAACUACGUGCCAGCAGCCGCGGUAAUACGUAGGGGGCAAGCGUUAUCCGGAUUUACUGGGUGUAAAGGGGGCGCAGACGGCGAUGCAAGCCAGGAGUGAAAGCCCGGGGCCCAACCCCGGGACUGCUCUUGGAACUGCGUGGCUGGAGUGCAGGAGGGGCAGGCGGAAUGCCUGGUGUAGCGGUGAAAUGCGUAGAUAUCAGGAGGAGCACCGGUGGCGAAGGCGGCCUGCUGGACUGCAACUGACGUUGAGGCCCGAAAGCGUGGGGAGCAAACAGGAUUAGAUACCCGGGUAGUC
rnacentral:rRNA from 1 species